rnacentral:rRNA from 1 species
UACGUAGGAGGCGAGCGUUGUCCGGAUUUACUGGGCGUAAAGGGCGCGUAGGCGGGCGACUAAGUCAGGGGUGAAAUCCCAAGGCUCAACCUUGGAACUGCCUUUGAUACUGGUUGUCUUGAGUCCGGGAGAGGUGAGUGGAACUGCGAGUGUAGAGGUGAAAUUCGUAGAUAUUCGCAAGAACACCAGUGGCGAAGGCGGCUCACUGGCCCGGAACUGACGCUGAGGCGCGAAAGCGUGGGGAGCAAACAGG